AAGAAUGUAACGCAACAAAAUAACUAUGUUUUUUGUUAAAGUUUUUGGUAUACUAGUCUAUAGUAUAGCGAGUUUUAAAAUUCUAGGUAAAACAAUGAUAAUGACAAUAUUUACCUAUAAGUCUUGACUAAUCCUCGUGCCAGCAGUCGCGGCAAUACGAGUAAGUCUAGUGUUAUUCAUCUUUAUUAGGUUUAAAGCGUACCUAGACGUAUACGGAGUUAUGUAUUGUAAAUAAGUAUAUUGAGUUUUAUAUGAGAGGGAUAUAUAAGUAUUAUUAGAGUAGGGAUGAUAUCUAUUGAUACUAAUAAGACUGGUAAAGGUGAAGACAAACCUCUAUGUAAAAACUGACGUUGAGAGACGAAGGCUCAGGUCGUGAAAAGGAUUAGAUACCCUUGUAGUCUGGGCAGAAAAUGAUGAGUGUCAUAGGUCAUAUAAUUUAUGGUCUAUAAAUGAAAGUGUAAGCACUCCACCUCAUGAGUAUAGCGGCAACGCCGGAAUUGAAAUCAUUAGACCGUUUCUGAAACCAGUAGUGAAGUAUGAUAUUUAAUUCGAUGGUCCACGAAAAACCUUACCAAAAUUUGAAUUGCCUAUUUUUAGUUAUUAACAAUUAUGGGGUUCAAAGGUAACUUUGAACAAACAGGUGUUGCACGGCUGUCUUUAGUUAAUGUUCUGAGACAUUGGCGAAAUCCCUAUCUCUAAUUAAUAUUAGAGAUUUUCUUUAAGGGGUUAAGACAAGUC
rnacentral:rRNA from 1 species